rnacentral:lncRNA from 1 species
AUAUGCAAUCGGGUGCCGAAAUGCACCCGUUUUGCAUCAUUUUUCGUUCCGGAACCGAAUGCUCAAAAACACUCCCAAACAUGUUCUAGGGUAUAAUUAGGAAGAUUGCAUGCGUUCGUUGCGAAAAAAUCCACCCGAGUUUCGCUACCCGGCAAUAUGCAAUCGGGUGCCGAAAUGCACCCGUUUUGCAUCAUUUUUCGUUCCGGAACCGAAUGCUAAAAAACACUCCCAAACAUGUUCUAGGGUAUAAUUAUGAAGAUUGCAUGCGUUCGUUGCGAAAAAAUCCACCCGAGUUUCGCUACCCGGCAAUAUGCAUUCGGGUACCGAAAUGCACCCGUAUUGCAUCAUUUUUCGUUCCGGAACCGAAUGCUCAAAAACACUACCAAACAUGUUCUAGGGUAUAAUUAUGAAGAUUGCAUGCGUUCGUUGCGAAAAAAUCUAAUCGAGUUUCGCUACACGGAAAAAGUGCAUUCGGGUGCCGAAAUGCACCCGUUUUGCAUCAUUUUUCGUUCCGGAACCGAAUGCUCAAAAACACUCCCAAACAUGUUCUAGGGUAUAAUUAUGAAGAUUGCAUGCGUUCGUUGCGAAAAAAUCCACCCGAGUUUCGCUACACGGAAAAAGUGCAUUCGGGUGCCGAAAUGCACCCGUUUUGCAUCAUUUUUCGUUCCGGAACCGAAUGCUCAAAAACACUCCCAAACAUGUUUUAGGGUAUAAUUAGGAAGAUUGCAUGCGUUCGUUGCGAAAAAAUCCACUCGAGUUUCGCUACCCGGCAAUAUGCAUUCGGGUGCCGAAAUGCACCCGUUUUGCAUCAUUUUUCAUUCCGGAACCGAAUGCUCAAAAACACUCCCAAACAUGUUCUAGGGUAUAAUUAUGAAGAUUGCAUGCGUUCGUUGCGAAAAAAUCCACCCGAGUUUCGCUACCCGGCAAUAUGCAUUCGGGUACCGAAAUGCACCCGUUUUGCAUCAUUUUUCGUUCCGGAACCGAAUGCUAAAAAACACUCCCAAACAUGUUCUAGGGUAUAAUUAUGAAGAUUGCAUGCGUUCGUUGCGAAAAAAUCCACCCGAGUUUCGCUACCCGGCAAUAUGCAUUCGGGUGCCGAAAUGCACCCGUUUUGCAUCAUUUUUCGUUCCGGAACCGAAUACUCAAAAACAAACUCCCAAACAUGUUCUAGUGUAUAGUUAGGAAGAUUGGAUGCGUUCGUUGCGAGAAAAUCCACCCGAGUUUCGCUACCCGGAAAUAGUGCAUUCGGGUGCCGAAAUGCACCCAUUUUGCAUCAUUUUUCGUUCCGGAACCGAAUGCUCAAAAACACUCCCAAACAUGUUCUAGGGUAUAAUUAGGAAUAUUGCAUGCGUUCGUUGCGAAAAAAUCCACCCGAGUUUCGCUAC